GAUUGCGAUCAUACCAGCACUAAUGCACCGGAUCCCAUCAGGACUCCGCAGUUAAGCGUGCUUGGGCGAGAGUAGUACUAGGAUGGGUGACCCCCCUGGGAAGUCCUCGUGUUGCAACCCC
rnacentral:rRNA from 1 species